rnacentral:rRNA from 1 species
CAGCAGCCGCGGUAAUACGAAGGGUGCAAGCGUUAAUCGGAAUUACUGGGCGUAAAGCGUGCGUAGGCGGUGAGUUAAGUCUGCUGUGAAAUCCCCGGGCUCAACCUGGGAAUGGCAGUGGAUACUGGCUCGCUAGAGUGUGUCAGAGGAUGGUGGAAUUCCCGGUGUAGCGGUGAAAUGCGUAGAGAUCGGGAGGAACAUCAGUGGCGAAGGCGGCCAUCUGGGACAACACUGACGCUGAGGCACGAAAGCGUGGGGGGCAAGCAGGAUUAGAUACCCCCGUAGUCCCUGUCUCUUAUAC